UUGGGCCCCUGGUCAAAGGUGUUUGUGUUCCCUGUUUGUAUAACCCUUUACAGGUUAAAAGAGGACAUUAAACCCCUUAACUAUCUGUUGAAGACAUGCACAUGUA